rnacentral:rRNA from 1 species
GGGUUGUGAGGUUAAGCGACUAAGCGUACACGGUGGAUGCCCUGGCAGUCAGAGGCGAUGAAGGACGUGCUAAUCUGCGAAAAGCGUCGGUAAGGUGAUAUGAACCGUUAUAACCGGCGAUGUCCGAAUGGGGAAACCCAGUGCAAUUCGUUGCACUAUCGUUAACUGAAUACAUAGGUUAACGAGGCGAACCGGGGGAACUGAAACAUCUAAGUACCCCGAGGAAAAGAAAUCAACCGAGAUUCCCCCAGUAGCGGCGAGCGAACGGGGAGCAGCCCAGAGUCUGAAUCAGCUUGUGUGUUAGUGGAACGGUCUGGAAAGUCCGACGGUACAGGGUGAUAGUCCCGUACACCAAAAUGCACAGGCUGUGAACUCGAAGAGUAGGGCGGGACACGUGGUAUCCUGUCUGAAUAUGGGGGGACCAUCCUCCAAGGCUAAAUACUCCUGACUGACCGAUAGUGAACCAGUACCGUGAGGGAAAGGCGAAAAGAACCCCGGCGAGGGGAGUGAAAAAGAACCUGAAACCGUGUACGUACAAGCAGUGGGAGCACCUUCGGGUGUGACU